GAUGAACGCUGGCGGCGUGCCUAAUACAUACAAGUCGAGCGAACGGACGAGAAGCUUGCUUCUCUGAUGUUAGCGGCGGACGGGUGAGUAACACGUGGAUAACCUACCUAUAAGACUGGGAUAACUUCGGGAAACCGGAGCUAAUACCGGAUAAUAUCUUGAACCGCAUGGUUCAAAAGUGAAAGACGGUCUUGCUGUCACUUAUAGAUGGAUCCGCGCUGCAUUAGCUAGUUGGUAAGGUAACGGCUUACCAAGGCAACGAUGCAUAGCCGACCUGAGAGGGUGAUCGGCCACACUGGAACUGAGACACGGUCCAGACUCCUACGGGAGGCAGCAGUAGGGAAUCUUCCGCAAUGGGCGAAAGCCUGACGGAGCAACGCCGCGUGAGUGAUGAAGGUCUUCGGAUCGUAAAACUCUGUUAUUAGGGAAGAACAUAUGUGUAAGUAACUGUGCACAUCUUGACGGUACCUAAUCAGAAAGCCACGGCUAACUACGUG
rnacentral:rRNA from 1 species